ACGGAAGGCAGCAGUGGGGAAUAUUGGGCAAUGGGCGAAAGCCUGACCCAGCAACGCCGCGUGAAGGAAGAAGGCCUUCGGGUUGUAAACUUCUUUUAAGAGGGACGAAGAAAAUGACGGUACCUCUUGAAUAAGCCACGGCUAACUACGUGCCAGCAGCCGCGGUAAUACGUAGGUGGCAAGCGUUAUCCGGAUUUACUGGGUGUAAAGGGCGCGUAGGCGGGGAUGCAAGUCAGAUGUGAAAUCUAUGGGCUUAACCCAUAAACUGCAUUUGAAACUGUAUCUCUUGAGUGUCGGAGAGGUAGAUGGAAUUCCUAGUGUAGCGGUGAAAUGCGUAGAUAUUAGGAGGAACACCAGUGGCGAAGGCGAUCUACUGGACGAUAACUGACGCUGAGGCGCGAGAGCGUGGGGAGCAAACAGGAUUAGAUACCCUGGUA
rnacentral:rRNA from 1 species